CAAACCAAAGCUGGCGACCGGCGCACGGGUGAGUAACACGUAUCCAACCUGCCUCAUACUCGGGGAUAGCCUUUCGAAAGAAAGAUUAAUAUCCGAUAGCAUAUAUUUCCCGCAUGGGUUUUAUAUUAAAGAAAUUCGGUAUGAGAUGGGGAUGCGUUCCAUUAGUUUGUUGGGGGGGUAACGGCCCACCAAGACUACGAUGGAUAGGGGUUCUGAGAGGAAGGUCCCCCACAUUGUAACUGAGACACGGUCCAA
rnacentral:rRNA from 1 species